AGGUGGGGUGGGGGCUGAGGGAGAGCUAAUCCUGUUGCCCUAAUGGCACCUGUGAAGCAGAGAAGUCUUGUAAAUCACCCUGAUUAAAGGUGCAAACUGGGACAUGCUUUGAUAAGAAGCCCAACAUGGGUCACUAUUUCUAUUCUGAAGACUCCUUUCUUUUAUUUUACUAUCUAUAGGACUAAAGAUCAUCUUUCUUGGUUAGUAUCCAUCUCUGCCUUCCCCAGACCAAGAGGAAGAAAGGAAGGAUGGAAGGAAGAAAGAAGAAAUAAUAGUUAGUGGUUACAAGUAUAUUUUAAAUAGCCCAAGGAAGUGUGAGAAUAACACCCAGUGUUCAUCCCCUCAAGUGCCUCCCUCAGUAGCCUGAGCCUCAUUAAAGAGCACGAGCAACAGAAGAGAUAAGCUGGUGAAGAAACACAGUAAAGAGAAGAACUUCAAAUAAGACAGUUAUCUACUAAUUGCCCACCCCUACUACAGACGGAAAGUGAGUUAGGCAAUUGUGACCAGCUGACUUUUUGCCUUUUCCAUAGGGGUAGGAAAAGGGCUGCAGUUAUUGAUACUAAUUUGCAAGUGAGUCACACACUUAAUAAGCUGAAGCAGCAACAUCUUGUGUUUACAGGAAUAAGACAUGAGAUGCACCAGAAAUACUGCCAUUUGAGGUCUCAGUUUUCAACAUUUUGGGCAUAAGAAAUUAUAAGACAAAUACUUCCUCAUUUGAGAAGGAAGAACAGAAGAAUAAAGAAUAAAAAUGUGAACAAGGUGAAGAAUGGAGGAAAAACAGUGAAGUGAGAAGUGAUAAGGAUGGUAAAGGAAAGGAGAAGAAAACGGAGUUAGAAAAAAAUGUUAAAGAACAAAGUCAACAUUUUAGUAAAUUUAAAAAGA